ensembl:lncRNA
CGAAUGUCAGCUGCCCGCAGCAGCUUCAUCUCUCUGACUAAUUAGGAGGGUGAAGCUCAUGCCCUGCUGACAGCAUCAAAUAAGAGUUCAGCUUACGGUCACGUUAUCAAAGCUAAUUUAUGGGCCUUACUUGCUUUGAUGUUCCACAAGAUACAAGAUUAUCAUGAUUCCUUCAGAUGCCAAAUCUGUCAAAAUAGCUAGCUACCUAUCCAUCCAUCAUCUAUCUGUCCUCAUCUCUCCAUCAUCCAUCCAUCAUCUUUCCAUUAUCUAUCCAUCCAUCCAUCAUCUAUCUAUCAUCAUCUCUCCAUCAUCCAUCCAUCAUCUAUCCAUCAUCAUCUCUCCAUCACCCAUCCAUCAUCAUCUCUCCAUCAUCCAUCCAUCAUCUAUCCAUUAUCUAUCCAUCCAUCCAUCAUCUAUCCAUCAUCAUCUCUCCAUCAUCCAUCCAUCAUCUAUUCAUUAUCUGUCCAUCAUCAUCUCUCCAUCAUCCAUCCAUCAUCUAUCCAUCAUCAUUUUGCCAUCAUCCAUCCAUCAUCCAUCCAUCAUCUAUCCAUCAUCAUCUCUCAAUCAUCUAUCCAUCAUCUAUUCAGUAUAUAUCCAUCAUCAUCUCUCCAUCAUCCAUCCAUCAUCUAUCCAUCAUCAUCUCUCCCUCAUCCAUCCAUCAUCUAUUCAUUAUCUGUCCAUCAUCCUCUCUCCAUCAUCCAUCCAUCAUCUAUUCAUCAUCUAUCCAUCAUCAUCUCUCCAUCAUCCAUCCAUCAUCUGUCCAUUAUCUAUCCAUCCAUCCAUCAUCUAUUCAUCAUCAUCUCUCCAUCAUCCAUCCAUCAUCUAUCCAUCCAUCCAUCAUCUAUCCAUCGUCAUCUCUCCAUCAUCCAUCCAUCAUCUAUUCAUUAUCUAUCCAUCAUCAUCUAUCCAUCCAUCCAUCAUCUAUCCAUCAUCAUCUCUCUGUCAUCCACCCAUCAUCUAUCCAUCAUCAUCUCUCCAUCAUCUAUCCAUCAUCAUCUGUCCAUCAUCCAUCCAUCAUCUAUCAAUUAUCAAUCCAUCCAUCCAUCCAUCCAUCCAUCCAUCAUCUAUCCAUCAUCAUCUCUCCAUCAUCUAUCAAUUAUCUAUCCAUCCAUCAUCAUCUAUCCAUCAUCUAUCAAUUAUCUAUCUAUCCAUCAUCUAUCAUCACCAUCUCUCCAUCAUCCAUCCAUCAUCUAUCAGUUAUCUAUCCAUCCAUACAUCAUCAUCUCUCCAUCAUCUAUCAAUUAACUAUCCAUCCAUCCAUCAUCUAUCCAUUAUCUAUCCAUCAUCAUCUCUCCAUCAUCCAUUCAUCAUCUAUCAUCCAUCCAUCCAUCAUCUAUCUAUCAUCAUCAUCAUCUCUCCAUCAUCCAUCCAUCAUCUAUUCAUUAUCUAUCCAUCAUCAUCUCUCCAUCAUCCAUCAUCAUCUAUCCAUCCAUCCAUCAUCUAUCCAUCAUCUAUCUGUCAUCCAUCCAUCAUCUAUCCAUCAUCAUCUCUCCAUCAUCCAUCAUCAUCUAUCCAUUAUAUAUCCAUUCAUCCAUCAUCUAUCCAUCAUCAUCUCUCUGUCAUCCAUCCAUCCAUCCAUCCUUCUAUUCAUACAUCUGUACACACAUACAAUUUUUCAUCCAUCCAUCCACUAUCUGUCCAUCCAUCCUUCCAUUCAUAGAUUCAUUCAUCCAUCCAUUAUCCAUCCAUCCAUCCAUCCAUCCAUCAUCUAUCCAUUCAUCCAUCCAUCCAUCCAUCCUUCUAUUCAUACAUCUGAACACACAUACAAUUAUUCAUCCAUCCAUCCUCCAUCCAUCCAUCCUUCCAUUCAUAGAUUAAUUCAUCCAUCCAUUAUCCAUCCAUCCAUCCAUCAUCUAUCCAUUCAUCCAUCCAUCCAUCCCUCCGUCCAUCCAUCCAUCCAUCCAUCCAUCCAUCCACCUAUGAUCUAUGAUCAUCUAUCCUAUAUAGUGUUCCUGUAGCUCAAGUGGUAGAGCAUUGCUUUAACAAGCGCAAGGUUGGGGGUUUGAUUCUCUGGGAACACAUGAUAGGUAAAAAUUGAUAGCCUGAAUGCACUUUAAGUCGCUUUGGAUAAAAGCGUCUGCUAAAUGCAUUCAUUUAAUUUAAUCUAUCCAUUCUUUCAUCUCCUAUCCAUCCAUCUGUCCUCCAAUUACACAUGGCUUGAGUGGCAUCAUCAAACAUCAGUUCAAACUGCAGAUAUAUGCUUUUAUUAGUCAUAUUCAGUGUAUACAGUGAUUAGUAUGACAGGAUCUUCA